UGAGAAGAAGAGCUGCAGGCGACAGGCUGAACACCUCCAACUCCACAGAGUACGUGUUCCUCUCUUCAUACUCUCCGGUCUGCGUCGUGUACACCGUCAGCCUGAACCAGAACUGUCUGCUGGCAUUCCUGUCGCGCCAUCACAGAAAAAGUUAGUAUCAAGUGUUAACAUUUAGAUUUGAAACAUUUCGCAGAGGCUCCCACUGUGCUAUUUCUACAUCCAGAUUGUUCGGCAAGACCUGCAGAUGUCUGCCAACGUUUGGAUGGAUUACCAUGAAGUCCAGGCAUUCCCGCCCCCAUCAGGAUUCAUUUGAAUGCCGUUUCAUGUAGCGUCAUCAUCAGCGUCAUCAUCAGCCAUCCAAGGAAACAUGAAGUAUCACAAGACUAAAAAGUGCUUUGAGCUCUGAUGCGGACUCAGCAAACAUCUAAACUUUGUGUUCAUUGUCUGCUAACAGAAAUGUAAAACCUCAUUCACCAAUUCCCGGGCAGCAAAAUGUGUUUGCAUGGCUAACUAUUUGUGCCAGUUUGAUAGUAUUGUUCAGUGUCAUACUGAAAUGAAAGCCACUUUUCUCUUUG